rnacentral:rRNA from 1 species
GGUAACACUAACUGGAGGACCGAACCGACUAAUGUUGAAAAAUUAGCGGAUGACUUGUGGCUGGGGGUGAAAGGCCAAUCAAACCGGGAGAUAGCUGGUUCUCCCCGAAAGCUAUUUAGGUAGCGCCUCGUGAAUUCAUCUCCGGGGGUAGAGCACUGUUUCGGCAAGGGGGUCAUCCCGACUUACCAACCCGAUGCAAACUGCGAAUACCGGAGAAUGUUAUCACGGGAGACACACGGCGGGUGCUAACGUCCGUCGUGAAGAGGGAAACAACCCAGACCGCCAGCUAAGGUCCCAAAGUCAUGGUUAAGUGGGAAACGAUGUGGGAAGGCCCAGACAGCCAGGAUGUUGGCUUAGAAGCAGCCAUCAUUUAAAGAAAGCGUAAUAGCUCACUGGUCGAGUCGGCCUGCGCGGAAGAUGUAACGGGGCUAAACCAUGCACCGAAGCUGCGGCAGCGACGCUGAUGCGUUGUUGGGUAGGGGAGCGUUCUGUAAGCCUGUGAAGG